UACGGAGGGUGCAAGCGUUAUCCGGAUUCACUGGGUUUAAAGGGUGCGUAGGCGGGUUGGUAAGUCCGUGGUGAAAUCUCCAAGCUUAACUUGGAAACUGCCGUGGAUACUAUCAAUCUUGAAUGUCGUGGAGGUAAGCGGAAUAUGUCAUGUAGCGGUGAAAUGCUUAGAGAUGACAUAGAACACCAAUUGCGUAGGCAGCUUACUACACGAAUAUUGACGCUGAGGCACGAAAGCGUGGGGGAGCAAACAGG
rnacentral:rRNA from 1 species